rnacentral:rRNA from 2 species
AAAUGACUCUCGGCAACGGAUAUCUCGGCUCUUGCAUCGAUGAAGAACGCAGCGAAAUGCGAUACUUGGUGUGAAUUGCAGAAUCCCGUGAACCAUCGAGUCUUUGAACGCAAGUUGCGCCCAAAGCCAUUAGGCUGAGGGCACGCCUGCCUGGGUGUCACAC